rnacentral:lncRNA from 1 species
ACAGAUGAGGAAAAUACCAAAUUUGCUCCAGAGUACAUUGCUAGAAAGUUGGAUCCCUGAGAUUCAAUUUCAUGUCCAUCUGAACCCAAAACGGUGACUUAGCCUCAGUGUGAAAUUACCCCACAGAUACCAAAAUAACCCCUGCACAGGAUUCCACAGCUUGGAGUCAGCCUGCUCCCCAACAGUGAGAAGGUGGGGCUUCGAGCAAGCCCUGGCUUUGCCACCUCCGACUGUUGAGGCCGAUCUCAAGCCUGGACUUCCUCACCGGGGACAUGAGUUCCCCGGCCCGGAGUUGCGGUGAGGAUGAAAUGAGAUCACAUGCAGGAAAGCUCUUAGGCAGCAAUGCGGAGCCGCGGAGCCAUUCUCAGGCGGGCGUGUUACUACUGUUUUGCACAGUGUGGGCUUGGCGGGUGUUUGUGGAGCGGAGCCGGAGGCAGGUAAGCAGUUAUUAUAGCCGCUUUCCUAAUAAUGUGCUCGGGAACAAACCCACUUGAAAGCGGCAGCAGGAGAAGGUUAUGAGAAUCUUGAUGAAAGCAGCUGAUUAGAAACUCCUGGAAGUUCUUUACUGAAAGAACCGCAGCACCCAGAACCACCACCAGGGUCCCCCUCAGAACCCCAGAAAUUACAAGGUGUGGCCUCAUCUCUGUGUUCUCGUGUGCCGGCCAGGUCAUUUCGUUGCUGUUAAA